UGAAGGUUGGACGAGGGAUGAGCUGUCUCCUUUACGUAAUUUGAAUUUAACUUUUGAGUGAAAAGGCUCAAAUUAUUUAGUGGGACGAUAAGACCCUAUAAAACUUUAUAUAAGUUUAAUUUGGCUUACAAUUUGAGUGAAAAGUAGCUUUAUUAGGCUUAUAUUUCGUUGGGGAGAUGUAGAUAUAAUGUGUAACUGUCUGUUUAAUUUAAUAAUUAUAAUUAGUGUGUGAUCCUUCUUUGUGGAUUAAAAGUAUAAGUUACUUUAGGGAUAACAGCGUGAUUUUCUUUGAGAGUUCUUAUCGACAAGAGUAGUUGCGACCUCGAUGUUGAAUUAAAAUUUCAGUUAGGUGUAGCCGUCUAGCUGGUAGGUCUGUUCGACCUUUAAAAUUUUACAUGAUUUGAGUUCAAACCGGUGUGAGCCAGGUUGGUUUCUAUCUAAA
rnacentral:rRNA from 1 species